CUAAGUUGAUCAUGUUUAUGACGUUGAAUAUCGACGUCAUAAACAUCUAAGUUGAUCGUGUUUAUGACGUCGAAUAUCGACGUCAUAAACAUCGAAG
rnacentral:miRNA from 1 species